AGGUGCGAUCAUACCAGUGUUAAUGCACCAGAUCCAAUCAGACCUCCACAGUUAAGCGCGCUUGGGCUAGAGCAGUACUGGGAUGGGUGACCUCCUGGGAAGUCCUAGUGUUGCACCCU
rnacentral:rRNA from 1 species